UGGAAGAAGCUCUGGCAGCUUUUUAAGCGUUUAUAUAAGAGUUAUAUAUAUGCGCGUUCCA
rfam:Drosophila virilis nanos (Dv nos) gene, complete cds.